GACGAACGCUGGCGGCGUGCUUAACACAUGCAAGUCGAGCGGUAAGGCCCUUUCGGGGUACGACGAGCGGCGAACGGGUGAGUAACACGUGGGUGGACCUCGCCCUUACGUCUCUGGGAGUAAGACCUGGGAAACGUAGGGUCGUAAUACCGGAUAUGACUCCAUGACGCAUGUUGUGGGGUGGGAAAGCCUUGUGCGGCUAGGAGUGGCCCGCGGCCUAUCAGCUUGUUGGUGGGGUGAUGGCCUACCAAGGCGACGAC
rnacentral:rRNA from 1 species